AUGACACUCUCUACUCUAUUAUAUGCCCAAAUGGAUUCCUAAGACCCCUCACCUAGAUUAGAUUGCUUUACUCUGCUCUGUCAUCAAAAUACCAAAAUCACUAUCAGUGCAUGUAGACUUCUAAGAUAUAUAGAAAAGAACAUCCUCAUCCCAUCUCCUUCUUGUCUUAUUACCACACACUAAUCUCCUACAUCUCCCAAGCUUCUUAGAGUGUUUAGUGUUUUCAUCGUCUAUUUCCCCUGAAUGAACUAAAUCCAUUCCAGACCUAGAUGCUGGCACAUUCCACAUGCAUUCUUUGCUCCUUUCCCUUCACCCUCACCUCCCCUUCUGCUUCCAAAACUGUGCCAGGGAUGGAAUUCCCAAUCUCAGUCAAACUCCUUCCCGAGGCCACUGAGAGCACUCUGCUGGAACAGAGGCCUGAGUCCUGCUAGCAAUAGCUGCACAGUGUUCCAAUUUCGCAGUCCGGAAGCCCACCCGCGUGGCCCCCUCUCUUCUAAGUUGAUUCUAAACACACAUACACACACACACCGGUCGCCCCCUCCCUUCUAAAUUUAUUACUAAACACACACGUAUACACACACACACACACACACACACACACACACACACCCUUCCUUCCUGUAGGGGCGUGGCGUUCACAGGACCCCCCCCCCGCCCCCCAUUUAACUCCUCCCACCCUUCUCCUCUGAACCUAGUGCUCCGCAUUCAAUGAGGGAGUUACACCGCGACCCUCUCUAGACUCUAACACCCACCUCUCUGCCGCCCGUAAGAUCCUCGCCCUAUCUGCGCCAAGUUGUUACCUGAAUCCCUCCCGCCCGGUCUCAGCAGGAAGCCGCUGCCCUCCAGAGAUCUGAGUCCAGGCCCCAGGCUGGGUCCCGAAAACCUCCCCACGCCCCACCCCCUCGACCCCCGGCGGCCGGGCCCUCCCCUCGCGCUCCUUUCCCCCCCCUCCCACCAUCCGCCGCAGCCACUUCCGUCCGUCCCCCGGAAGUGAGCGGGAGGUAACUGCCACUUCCCCUCAACACGCCUUAUUCUUCCACCACACCCCCCUUGCUCCCGCCCAUCACCACCGCCACCACGGGAGCGCGGGAUGUUGGUCUGAAAGGUUUCAAGCUGUUCAGCAGUCACUGUUCACCGGACUGAAGACGAGGUGUGAGCAGGUCCGAGUCUGGAAGAGAACCGAACUGGGGGCCAAAGUAGCGGCCCUGCAAGAAGGGGCGGGGCAAAGUACCGCGAAAAGCUGGAGCGCGCACGACUUCGAGCCGCGCGGCAGGACCUUUCCUUGCGUGAGGAGAGAGAAAGAAAAGGGUAAGAAUACUCUAAAAUGAGUGGCCCACGCCUUCACUUCACCCUUUACACACACUGUGCGAAGUACUUUACAUGGUUAACACCCCUUGCACAGCAGAUAGGUCAGCCUGAGGUUGCAUGACUUAGGAAGUGGUAGAGACUGGAUUCCCAGGCUGUAACACUACCCAGUAUUGUCACUAUCACGUUCCACCGAAGACCUCUCUCCUUUCGACUCCUGCAAUGGACUGCCAAGUUCCAAAAUUGCUCGGGUAGCCUUUAAAUAUGUUCACCUCACUUGCUCUUGAGUUCAACUUAAAUCCAAGAGGAGCUACUAAUUUUUGGAGUUCAUAAGUCAUCCCCUUAAUGACAUGUUCUAGAAUCUUGCCAGGACUAUGAACGAAUUAGCAGCCUGUUUUUCCCUCUUUUUUCAAAAAACCUAGACUUCAGUCUUUUGGCAUAUCUUAUUAGAUGCUAUGUUUUAUAAGAAGGAAUAUAUAUAUUUGGUCUUCAUUUCAUUCCUGGUUCAAAGUUCCUAAAACCCUUGGGAUUUCCUAAGUGGUAAGAGCACUAGGAGCAUCUUUUGUUCUAAUAUUUGGUCACUGAGUGUGGUCCUGACACAGGGUUUGUGAAACGUGGAAUUUCAUGGGUGAUGGGAAAGUCCUUUGUUCAAAAGAAGCAGCUCUGGGUGGGCUCCUGGACAGCUCCUGGAUGAGGGCUGGUUACUAGAAAGUCCAAGACAGGAUUCUCCGGAGAUGGAAAAAGGGCUGAAAAUGGAGUUAAUGAUUGAUCACGAGUAAGUGAGGAAACUUCCAUAGAACCCCCAAUAGGCAGGUUCAGAGAGCUUCCAGGUUGGUGAACACACCCAGGUACUGGGAGGCUGAUACACCCCCAACUCCACUGGAAAGAAGCUCCUGUACUCGUCACCCUCCCUAUCCACCCUAUAUAUGUCUUUAUCUGGAUGUUCAUCUAUAUCUUUUGUUAUAUUGGUGAAUGUAAAUAAGUGUUUUCCUGACUUCUGUAAGCUGUUCUAGCAAGUAAUUGAAUCCAAACAUUUUUUUCAUGUCAAAAAAUAUACCUCUGUGGCAUUUUUUAAUGACUGCUUGGUAUCCUAUUAUAAAAGUGUACCAUAAUUAUAGUCCUUGUUUUUUGUACAUUUGGGUUGUUUCCAACUUUUCACUUCUCUAAAAUUACUUGUAGCUAACUCUCUGUGCACAUCCCUAAUAAUUUCCUCAGUAUAAAAUCCUGGAACUGUUGUCAAAAGGUGCACUCAUUCCUGAAGGUGUUUGAUUCAUGUAGUCAGCAGACCUACAGAAGGGUGGCACUGCUUUGACACCAGUGGGCAGCAGGGUCCUUUUCUCUGCACCUGCCAGCACUAUCUUUUCAUUCUUUGUCAUCUUUGCCAAUCUGAUGGAAGAAUGGUUUUGUAUUGCUUUUAAGCUAUGUUCUCCUCAUUACUCGUAAAGUGGAACCUGCUUUUAUACAUCACUUUUGUGAUUUGUCUACUUAUAUGUUUUGCCCAUGGGGACUCAUCUUUGUGUCAAUCCUUUGCUAGAACUCUGACAGAAUAUAAAGUAAGAUAUUGUUAUUUGUGUUGCAAAUAUUUUCCCAGUUUGUUAAUUGCCUUUUAAGUCUAUCUUUGUGCUCAUUCGAUAUUGUAGAAGUCAACAGCAGUUAGGCCAGAGGUCUGGUCUUGCUGCCUAUGCUCUGCCUUCAGAAUAAAUUAAUUCUUAGGAGUAGACUAGAGAAUUUUUACUGCUUUUGCCCAUGUGCUAUAAGGAGUGAAUAGGGAACAGGACCACAAUCUCCACACAGAAGGCCACAGAAUCCUCAGGUGAAGAAGGAGGCGUUUGGGGAUAAUUUGUGUGUUCUGGAGAGCAGUGAUACCCAAUGCCAUCCUAGAUUUUUGGAAAUCUCCAUUUUAAAUGAUCUGUCAUCCCUAUUAGUUAUCCCUAUUUAUACACACAUAAUUAUCAUACCAUGAUUCUUCUUUGGUAGAGAUUAAUCCUUACCAUGGGCAUGUUCUAUCUUCUCUCUCUCUUUCUCUUUGACCUGAUUGGUAUUCUUUCCUAAAACAUCCUCCUUAAUGUCCUUUUUUAAUGUCUGAUUCAUUAGUCACCAUGCCAUUUUCUAAACUCUACUCCCUUCAUUAAUUCCAGGAGGUGAAGGUGGACUUUUCUGGAACACUGAAGAUGAAUGUUUCCUAUCCCCAUUUUCAUGUUCCUUGUGGCAUAAGGAAAAGGCGGGGGUGGGUGGAGCAGGAGGGCCCGAGUUGCACUGCAAGUACAGGACUGAUGAGGAUGUGACAAGCUCAGACAUCACUAUUGCUGGACUUUUUAUGGGCACUGUAAGGAAUCCUACCAAAACCUAGAAUAUUAAGCAGAGACUUGAGAUGAAGGUUAGGUGGCAAGUGAAGGACCCUGGAGAUUUCAUUUCAGUCAUGGGAUGAAAGCUAUUUAAGUACACUUAAAACCAUAGAACAUCUUCAUUUCACAAAGAAGGAUGUACUCAUCAUCUUGUAUCUGUAUUAUUAUUUAAAUUAUUUUAAUUUUGAGCAUUUCUCCCCAGCUUAAGGACAGAGACCUGUUUACCUUUAAACACUCAUAUAUUUCUGUGUUUGUUUAAUUCAGUUAGCAUUUACCUGCCAGCUCAGAUCCUGACUUCUCUGAUUUCUGUGGUGGAUGAUUUGGUUUCCUUUCCCAAGGUGCAGAUAAUGAAAUCUAUCCUUCACCCGUGGCAAGGUAUUCAGGAGGAUCAAAUGAAAAACUCUUUUAAAACUGCAAAGAGAAAUGUAAAUAUCUGUGGGGUUUAGAAAGUUUACAGAUAGCAAUCAGAAAGUGCUAGGAUGCUGGUCACAUUGAGUUUUCAUGAGAGAUCACUUAAUGCCCUCUCCAUCUGAGAACAGAGAAAGCCCUAAGCACCUUACCCUCCGCCUCCUUACUACUCAGGUUUCUCACCUGGCCUGUCUUUCUCAGGGCUCUCAAAGUGUGAUUAUGCCAUAAUGAAAGCUGGUCUGCUUUUGAGUACUUUUCUUUAACAAUUACAAGUUCUGACUACCACUAGAUUGAUUUGUUUUUAAACCUGUGAAUUUGCGUUUAAGCCAAGAGCAUUUGCUCAGGUCAGUAUUUUCUUAGACCAGCUCCAUUAGUUAGGGUUGUCCAGUUACCUAGUGAGGAUAAACAAAACCUUGGAUCCUGAUGCCAGGAAGCUGAGGUUUUCCUGUACUGAGCUCCAUGGGUAGUAGAGGUAGCUGGGAGGGAAGAGAAGAUGGAGAAGGGAGAAGUCAAGGGAACACAGUCCAAAAUAGGAGUGCCUUUUGCCUCCAGGAUCUAUUAGUCAGGGAAAGAGGAGACUUAUUUUCAAGAAAGAGCAAAGAAAUUUACAAGUAAAAAACUGAAGACAUUUCAGAAGUACUGAAGUAAAGUGUUUAGAGGAAUGUAAAAUUAAUGAGGAAUAGUUGCCUUUUAAGGUCACUUAAAGGGAAGGAGGAGUAGUUCCUAGUUUGGGGUCAUAAAUACUUCAAGCAGAAUCAAGCUCCAAUAGGAACAUUCCUACUUUUUAUAAUCUAAAUUGGUUUUGGUGUCCGGGUACCUGGAUUCUAAAGGCCCUGACUGCAGUGACCAGCCGUCACAUACCCCAACCAAUUCUUUAAAGGUUCUCCUCAUAUAGGAGCAGUUGAAAAUCCUUAGAAGAAAACAAUUACAACUAUUACCCUCAAACUAUACUAUAAUUAUAACUUUAUCAUAAUUUCUUUAUCUUUCUUGAAAUGGGUUUUAUUUUUUAUUUCUAUUGUUAUUUAUUUUGAAGGGGGAGAGAGAAUGCGAGCAUGCAAAUGGGGGAGAGGGGCAGAGGGAGAGAGAGAACCUUAAGGAGGCUCAGUGCUCAGUGUGGAGUUUGACGUGGGACUGGAUCCCACAGCCUGACCUGAGUCGAAAUCAAGAGUCAGACACUUAACCAACUGAGCCAGCCAGGCAACACUGAAAUGGGUUUUAAAUCAGAAUAGCCAUUUCUGAUAACUUUUCGUAAAUAGCUUUUAGUAAUAAUCUUUAUUAGUCAUAAAAAAGAAAGGAAGUGCCUUUCAGAAGACUAUCUCUGAUCUUUUGCUAGGUAUGUUUGCUUUCUUAUAUUUCCCCUGGCCCCGCUAUAGGCUGCUUCAGAAUAAUGGAAGGAUAUAAGUUAAAGACAACGCAACAUCCCAGUAAACACUUAGUAGGAAUUGUCUGGAAACUGUUUAAGGGGUGAAAAAAGCCACAGGCUUCUGGGAGAUAACAAGCCUUUUCUAUGCCAACCACCUCCCAGUUGUCUCACUGCUGUGUGGCAAUCACCUCUGUGCUGUGUCGCACACUGAUUCAUUCCUAAUAGCUAUUAAAGGAGAGACCUUUUUAGGUUAUUGACCCUCCUAAAUAAUCAGACCUAUUUGAGGUCAUGUCUGUGGAAAUAUCAAGCUUGCAUGCUUACAUUCUAACAUGCCUUCUUGAGGAAUAUGAGCAGAGAAUUAGGUGUGGUAUCUCAAAUGGAUCAGAUGUAUUCAUCUACAACCUAGAGUGAGAAGAAUAUUCCAAGAAAAAAAUUAAUUUACUUUUUUUCUGGGUUUUGAUAAUACCUGGAAUAUCACAGGUGCUACAUUCCAGAAAAGAGACCAAGGAUCUUAGGUCUGAGGUGUACAGAGACUCCAGAUUAUCUCCUCUCCCUCAGCCUGGGCUCUACUUCUUCCUUCUCUUCCUCCCCAAAAUCUUCAGAAGUCUGUUAUCACCAGCUCAAAUGCCGCUCCCUCCUUGAAACUUCAGCAGUUGUCAACACUGAUUCUUCUUUACCUUGUAUUAGAAUUCACUGUGGUACAACUGUCUUACUCCUUUCCAUAUUCUUCAGUUCCACCCAACCCCUAGCAGUAUCUUGAGAGA
ensembl:lncRNA